rnacentral:rRNA from 1 species
AUGGAUGGCCGCAAUCUGCUGGGUGCUGCAGGAGCUGAUCGAGCGAGGCGGAACCAGGCCAAGAUCGUCCAGAUGGCGGUGCCGGUGCUGGCCAUGCUGCUGCUGCUGCUCACGGCGGCGGCGGCGGUCUCCAUGGCGCCCGACGGCACUGCCCGGCUGCACGUCUUGUUCUGCAGCAACCACUUCGUGAUGAUGUGCGUGCUCUCCCAGAUCAACCUGGCCUGUCUUUUCGCGAGGAAGGCCGCUCGGGCGCGGACGCUGGCGGCCCGGCGCUGGUACGCGGUGGGCGCCGCCGCGUGCUUCGUGGAGCUCGCGCUCAAGCCCUACAGGAUCCGUCUGCUGUGCCACGCGGCUGUGGAGGAUGGUGCCUAG